rnacentral:rRNA from 1 species
UACGUAGGGCGCAAGCGUUAUCCGGAAUUAUUGGGCGUAAAGAGCUCGUAGGCGGUUUGUCGCGUCGGCCGUGAAAACCUGCAGCUUAACUGUGGGCUUGCGGUCGAUACGGGCAUCACUGGAGUUCGGCAGGGGAGACUGGAAUUCCUGGUGUAGCGGUGAAAUGCGCAGAUAUCAGGAGGAACACCGGUGGCGAAGGCGGGUCUCUGGGCCGAUACUGACGCUGAGGAGCGAAAGCGUGGGGAGCGAACAGG